rnacentral:rRNA from 1 species
AUGGAUGGAGGAAGCAGCGGUGUGGGCGCAGACGAGAUCUGGAGGCCAUGGGACGAGCACACUGUGCUCCGCCCGGAGGAGAUGGAGUACGUGCGACAGUUCCACCAGCACGAGCCAGGCGCCAACCAGUGCACCUCCUUCAUCGCCAAGCACAUCAAGGCGCCCCUCCAAACCGUUUGGUCACUUGUGAGGAGGUUUGACGAGCCACAAGUUUUCAAGCCUUUUGUGGAGAAGUGUGUGAUGCAAGGGAACAUUGAGCCAGGAUGUGUUAGAGAGGUCACUAUCAAAAGUGGGUUGCCUGGUACAUGGAGCACCGAGAGGUUGGAGCUGCUCGAUGAUAAUGAGCACAUCCUCAGUGUCAAGUUUAUUGAUGGUGAUCAUCCGCUAAAGAACUAUUCAUCUAUUUUGACGGUCCACCAUGAGGUCAUUGGUGGUCAUCCGGGAGCACUGGUAAUUGAGUCAUUUGUGGUCGACAUCCCAGAGGAGAACACUGAAAACGAGAUCUUUUACCUUGUUGGGAACUUUAUCAAGAUUAACCACAAUCUGCUUGCUGAUGUGUCAGAGAGACGCAACCGUGCACUAAACUAA